rnacentral:rRNA from 1 species
AUGGGGACGCUUCAAACUCAAUUAGGUGUUGCUGGUAGUAGCACCAUAGAAGAUCCAGAGGAAGAGAGAUCUCAACUUGAAAAAGAAAUACUCGAAGACGAGGAACAAGAUGAUCCAGAGCUCGAACAACCAAGUGAUCAAGUUGAAGAUUCAUCAUCUACUACUCUUGAAGAAGCAAAAGAAGUUGCUGUAGAUGAACUUGAAGAACCAGAAAUUCAUUUGCCUAUUGUCAUACAAGAGCGUGAUGUAGCAGGUUUAUCUAAUCCUCUUGAUGACAUGCGUCCCUAUGACUUAUUUGCUUCUACCUUGCAUUACAUGAUACCAUCAAUUAAGGUUUUUGCUUGUGCACGAAUCAAUACAUGCUGA